UAUUCCAACAUUUUACACAGAUAAAUUUUAGCUGUGAAAUAAUCUUUUUUUGUUUAUAUGGUGAUACAGAGGUUAAGUAAGAAUCCUUAAAACAUUUUCCUGCUCUGCAGAGGCACAGGGAUGUAGCAACACCAUAUUUAAAAAUAUUCAUUCCCCUUCCUGGCAAUAUUUCUAAUUCCAGUGGAGCGCGACAACAUCUUCUGCUUUGAUAAUGUCAUGCACGAGUGUGCCUGCUGUUAGUUGCAGGACAAUGACUUCACACCAGACACAAAUGGGCAAGAACUGGCAAAGCCAAAAUAAAACUCUGUUUAUGUUGAUAAUAUCUUUCCUCUAUGCUUUGCGUGCUCCUUCUAGUGGAAGAGCUCACUCCAGCCCCGGACCAGUUUGCAGCUGAUCAUCUGCUCGGGAUGGUUUUGAAGUCAUGAUAUACUGCAGGGUUAGAAUACAAACGGAUUCUCCCAGUGCCAUUUGCAGAGGCAUUUUGCUUUUGCCCACUGUUGGAGACAGGAGCUAGAAAGACCUUUGGCCUGGCCCAGUGUCACUGCUCCUCUGUUCUUGUGCUCGUGUUGUGAAAGACUUGGAGCCCUUGUGGUAGGAAGAAAGGGAAUCUGCUUCCGCAAUAAAUUGGAGGACAAAGAGGAUCAGAGCAAUGUUUACACACAUACAGUCAUUUCUUGCUCAGUGUAUGUAUACAUAUGCACUUCAGCUAUGUGUGUCAACAGUACAUUUUUUCUAAGGGGAAAGCCUGACAAUGUCAUCCAAAUGCACUGCAAGGCUCAGAAAACAGAUGCCAAGCAACAGAAGCCAAACUGUGCAGCCAUUUUUAAAUCUCAGAAGUUUUAAGGCAAUCAAAAUAUUCUCAGGGCCUUCACCCAUGUUUUCUGAGUGUGGAGGGGCUUGGCAGUAAAUAAAGCUUCACAUUACAAAGAGGCAAAAGUAAAUAAAGUCUUCAGGGAUGCUAA